GACGAACGCUGGCGGCGUGCUUAACACAUGCAAGUCGAACGGAAGGGCCCUGCGUGUUUGGGGUUCUCGAGUGCCGAACGGGUGAGUAACACGUGAGUAACCUGCCCUUCACUUUCGGAUAACUUCAGGUAGCUGGGGCUACUACCGGAUAGCAGCCCCCGCUGCGUGGAGGGCGUUGGAAAUUUUCGGCGGUUGGGGAUGGACUCGCGGCUUAUCAGCUAGUUGGUGGGGGAGUGGCUUACCAAGGCUUUGACGGGUAGCCGGCCUGUGAGGGGGGCCGGCGACAUUGGGCCUGCGAUACGGACCAGACUGCUAUGGGAGGCAGCAGUGGGGAGUAUGGCCCAAUGGGCGGAAGCCUGAUGAAGCAGCGCCGGGUGCGGGAUGACGGCCUUCGGGUUGUAAACCGCUGUCGCCUGUGACGAAGCGGGAGUGACGGUAAUGGGUAAAGAAGCACCGGCUAACUACGUG
rnacentral:rRNA from 1 species